rnacentral:tRNA from 1 species
GGGCUCUUGGCACAGGGGUAGCGCGCACGCUUCGCAUCGCCUGCAUUGCGUGAGGUCGUGGGUUCAAUUCCCACAGUGUCCA